CCUACGGGAGGCACCAGUAGGGAAUCUUCCACAAUGGACGCAAGUCUGAUGGAGCAACGCCGCGUGAGUGAAGAAGGGUUUCGGCUCGUAAAGCUCUGUUGUUGGUGAAGAAGGACAGGGGUAGUAACUGACCUUUGUUUGACGGUAAUCAAUUAGAAAGUCACGGCUAACUACGUGCCAGCAGCCGCGGUAAUACGUAGGUGGCAAGCGUUGUCCGGAUUUAUUGGGCGUAAAGCGAGUGCAGGCGGGUCGAUAAGUCUGAUGUGAAAGCCUUCGGCUCAACCGGAGAAUUGCAUCAGAAACUGUCGAGCUUGAGUACAGAAGAGGAGAGUGGAACUCCAUGUGUAGCGGUGAAAUGCGUAGAUAUAUGGAAGAACACCGGUGGCGAAGGCGGCUCUCUGGUCUGUUACUGACGCUGAGGCUCGAAAGCAUGGGUAGCGAACAGGAUUAGAUACCCGCGUAGUC
rnacentral:rRNA from 1 species